AUUGAACGCUGGCGGCAUGCCUUACACAUGCAAGUCGAACGGUAACGCGGGGCAACCUGGCGACGAGUGGCGAACGGGUGAGUAAUGUAUCGGAACGUGCCCAGUUGUGGGGGAUAACUGCUCGAAAGAGCAGCUAAUACCGCAUACGACCUGAGGGUGAAAGCGGGGGAUCGCAAGACCUCGCGCAAUGGGAGCGGCCGAUAUCAGAUUAGGUAGUUGGUGGGGUAAAGGCCCACCAAGCCAACGAUCUGUGGCUGGUCUGAGAGGACGACCAGCCACACUGGGACUGGGACACGGCCCAGACUCCUACGGGAGGCAGCAGUGGGGAAUUUUGGACAAUGGGCGCAAGCCUGAUCCAGCCAUGCCGCGUGCGGGAAGAAGGCCUUCGGGUUGUAAACCGCUUUUGUCAGGGAAGAAACGCUCUGGGUUAAUACCUCGGGGUAAUGACGGUACCUGAAGAAUAAGCACCGGCUAACUACGUGCCAGCAGCCGCCGCCGUAA
rnacentral:rRNA from 1 species